AAGUCUAGAUGCUCAGCUCCCAGCAGCCACUGAGCAGUGGCUCUGUGUGUCCAGAUCAGCU
rnacentral:miRNA from 1 species